CUUCGGCGGGACCCAGGUGAGAAAGGCCCACCUGUGUCCUGGUUGAGGGUCUCCAGGGUUCUUUGGGGCCCGAGGCCAAUGGUGGCAGAGUCUACAUAGAACUAUGCUUCGUGGUGUUCUGGGGAAAACCUUUCGACUUGUUGGCUAUACUAUUCAAUAUGGCUGUAUAGCUCAUUGUGCUUUUGAAUACGUUGGUGGUGUUGUCAUGUGUUCUGGACCAUCAAUGGAGCCUACAAUUCAAAAUUCAGAUAUUGUCUUUGCAGAAAAUCUUAGUCGACAUUUUUAUGGUAUCCAAAGAGGUGACAUUGUGAUUGCAAAAAGCCCAAGUGAUCCAAAAUCAAAUAUUUGUAAAAGAGUAAUUGGUUUGGAAGGAGACAAAAUCCUCACCACUAGUCCAUCAGAUUUCUUUAAAAGCCAUAGUUAUACUAUAGUGAUAAAAACCUGUGCUACACAUCCAUUUCUCAGCAACGGCUCCUAGGAUAAUCA
rnacentral:sRNA from 1 species